CUGGGCAACCUAUGGGCUUUCUCAACUGACAUGAGGCUUGGGUUUGAAACUAUACUAAAAGUUCUUUAGAAGUGAAGAAGGGGCAAAAGGCUGUCUGAGCAGUGAAGCUGGGAGGGACUUUAGGAAAGGCCACUGUAAACAAUGGCAUUUAUAACUGAGGACCAACCAAUAAAACAAAACAUUUUAAAUAGCUGGGGCUGGGGAAGUGGGCCCAGCAGGAACAAACACAAGGUGUAAGAAUCUAACCUUAGGACAUUGCUACCUGUACACUUCCCACCUUUGAAGUCCAGAGCCAGACUCAGGAACUAACUAGUCCAGAGCUUCCUAAAUCUACCUCUCACUUCCUCUAAAGCUUACCCUGAGUCCUUCCCCAGAGCUGUCCUUCAGAAAUCCCAGAAGUGGACUCAGAGCCUCUGUAAACUAAUGUUUUCUUUUCACUUAGCUACCUGGCUCCAAGCAGACUGUUCCCAGAGGAUCCUCCUUUCACAUCAGGCCACCUGUUUCCAAGGGGAUCUUCCUGUAAACUUGCUUCCGUGAGGACCCUGCUCUUACACUUGCCUACCUGUUUCUACAAGAUGAGAGAUGUGGUAUGUGCCAACACCACCCACCUACUUCUACUAAACCAUCUGAUUCCAGUAUUGACUUACUUAGAACUGCAAGUGUUCUUUAGUCUCCUCACAUUUUC
rnacentral:lncRNA from 1 species